rnacentral:rRNA from 1 species
AGCAGCCGCGGUAAUUCCAGCUCCAAUAGCGUAUAUUAAAGUUGUUGCAGUUAAAAAGCUCGUAGUUGAAUUUCGGGAUCAAUUAAUCGGUCGUGCCUCUGGUACGCACUGGUUUUAUUGGUUUCUCCCUUCUGACGAACCAGGAUGUCAUUAAUUUGGUGUCUUGGAGAAUCAGGACUGUUACUUUGAAAAAAUUAGAGUGUUUAAAGCAGGCUAACGCUUGAAUACAUUAGCAUGGAAUAAUGAAAUAGGACGUUUGAUCCUAUUUUGUUGGUUUCUAGGAUCGACGUAAUGAUUAAUAGGGAUAGUUGGGGGCAUUAGUAUUCAAUUGUCAGAGGUGAAAUUCUUGGAUUUAUUGAAGACUAACUACUGCGAAAGCAUUUGCCAAGGAUGUUUUCAUUAAUCAAGAACGAAAGUUAGGGGAUCGAAGACGAUCAGAUACCGUCGUAGUCUUAACCAUAAACUAUGCCGACUAGGGAUCGGAUGAUGUUAAUUU